CCUACGGGGGGCACCAGUGGGGAAUAUUGCACAAUGAGCGCAAGCCUGAUGCAGCCAUUCCGCGUGUAUGAAGAAGGCCUUAGGGUUGUAAAGUACUCUCAGUUGGGAGGAAGGCGUUGAUGCUAAUAUCAUCAACGAUUGAGGUUACCAACAGAAGAAGCACCGGCUAACUCCGUGCCAGCAGCCGCGGUAAUACGGAGGGUGCAAGCGUUAAUCGGAAUUACUGGGCGUAAAGCGCACGCAGGCGGUUGAUUAAGUUAGAUGUGAAAUCCCCGGGCUUAACCUGGGAAUGGCAUCUAAGACUGGUCAGCUAGAGUCUUGUAGAGGGGGGUAGAAUUCCAUGUGUAGCGGUGAAAUGCGUAGAGAUGUGGAGGAAUACCGGUGGCGAAUGCGGCCCCCUGGACAAAGACUGACGCUCAGGUGCGAAAGCGUGGGGAGCAAACAGGAUUAGAUACCCCUGUAGUC
rnacentral:rRNA from 1 species